rnacentral:rRNA from 1 species
UACGGAGGGUGCAAGCGUUAUCCGGAUUCACUGGGUUUAAAGGGUGCGUAGGAGGGCAGGUAAGUCAGUGGUGAAAUCUCCGAGCUUAACUUGGAACUGCCGUUGAUACUAUCUGUCUUGAAUAUUGUGGAGGUGAGCGGAAUAUGUCAUGUAGCGGUGAAAUGCUUAGAUAUGACAUAGAACGACCAAUUGCGAAGCAGCUGCUACACAUAUAUUGACUCUGAAGGCACGAAAGCGUGGGGAUCAAA